GAUGAACGCUGGCGGCGUGCCUAAUACAUGCAAGUCGAGCGAACAGACGAGGAGCUUGCUCCUCUGACGUUAGCGGCGGACGGGUGAGUAACACGUGGAUAACCUACCUAUAAGACUGGGAUAACUUCGGGAAACCGGAGCUAAUACCGGAUAAUAUAUUGAACCGCAUGGUUCAAUAGUGAAAGACGGUUUUGCUGUCACUUAUAGAUGGAUCCGUGCCGCAUUAGCUAGUUGGUAAGGUAACGGCUUACCAAGGCAACGAUGCGUAGCCGACCUGAGAGGGUGAUCGGCCACACUGGAACUGAGAAACGGUCCAGACUCCUACGGGAGGCAGCAGUAGGGAAUCUUCCGCAAUGGGCGAAAGCCUGACGGAGCAACGCCGCGUGAGUGAUGAAGGUCUUCGGAUCGUAAAACUCUGUUAUAGGGAAGAACAAAUGUGUAAGUAACUAUGCACGUCUUGACGGUACCUAAUCAGAAAGCCACGGCUAACUACGUG
rnacentral:rRNA from 1 species